rnacentral:misc_RNA from 1 species
CACAAAGGACAUUUACACACGGAGUAAUCACAUCAGAGCCCAACCUAAAAAUGUUUUGGAAUUAGAGCAAUAACUGUUUAUGAAUCCAAUUUCUUGGGGUAUACUUGAGAACCACAACUUCUCAAUCCUAUGUUUUGUAAAACAAAGUUUGCUCCAGUCUAUGAAUUCAAACAGAAACUCUCAUAAACAUAAAACUCACAGGGGAAAACAUAGCACAGGAAUUUCCAGUGUAUAUCUAGAUCUACAAUUCUUCAACAUAUUCAGUGUUUGAAACCAUAUCCAUAGGUUUAAAAAAGGAAUUGGAUAGGCAAAGAAGGGUUUGCUAGAUGGUCAAGAAAACAUUAACCUGAAUUAAUUUAAUUUAGAAAACUAUAAAUGUCAACAUUAAGCCUUUCACAAAUUAUCAUAUGCAAUUAGAAGGGUGGAACGGAAAACUUCAAAGAUAUUUUAACCACAGGUUCAAGACUACUGAAUUCAAUGCAUUUUUAGAAAGUAUCCAUUUUUUGAAAGCUUUAAUAUUGUUUCGGCAAUGCUUUAUUGAAACUGAGUAAAGUUUUUAUUUUUUCUAUUCGACUAACCUUCCACUAUUUGGCUGUGACAUACCAGACCAAAAUGAUCCAUAUUGUAAUAACCACAAGUUACAAAAAAAGGUGACAUAUCAUAUAAAAAAAAUUUAAGGAAAAAUCUGCGGAAAACGUGAUGCAAG